CAGGCUGUUUGGGGAGGCACAGCUUCCCUACCCAGCCCUCCAUACAGUUAGAAAACGCUGAUGUGGCCCUUGGGCCAAAAAGUUUGCCCACCUCGAUCUAUACAAAUAGAAUAGAUAAUCUAAAUCAAUAGAUAUGGAAUAAGGACUAGUAGAUGUGCCACAUUAACAGAUUGACCAGAUCUGAAAAUUUGCCAUACCUGAAAAAUCAGCCACCUAACUGCUCAGAGCUAGCAUGCUAAAGUUCUUUCAAAUGUUACGCCACCCUUGAAAUAAAUGGAAUUCCUGUUAGUCUAGAGGUGAAAGGUAGUAUAAAUACACAGUACAACACCAGACACCAAGCUCAGCAAAACUACUGGGAAAUAGAGAAGGGAAAUAUAAAAUUGGAUGUCAGGUUGUUUAAAAGGCUGAUCCUUGUUCACAAGGUUUUUUGUCUUUGCUUGUGUGAAGGAACAGGGAACUAGAAGGCAGAUACGAAAUCAGGGGCCUGAUUCUUUACUACUGCUUCACACUACUCCGACGGGUAACUGGACGUUAAACUGAGUAUAAAUGUAAUAUAUUUACAACCUCCUUUCAGUCUUAAUGAGAAUCAGGCCUCAGAAGUUUGAUUUCUUUGUUUUUACUAGUGUUGCUUAAAGGAGAACACUACUGAAAUUCUAAAGAGACUCAAACAAAACCUGCAAUGUGUAUAUAUGGGUUUUUUAACAGCUGUUCCAUGUAGAAUGGUGGUGAGGGAAAGGGUUUCAAGGUGGUAAUACUUCCUUAUCUUCAGAGGAAAAAAGGAUUAAGCUCUGGAAGAAAAAAACAUGAAAUGAAAGUGUUAGUUAAUGUUUUUAGUGUCUUUACCCAGUGGAUUAAAUCGCUCAUGUAUUUCCUUAUUGCACAGAUGGUUACUAAGUUCUUCACUACUUAGAUGGUUUGCCCACAAAUAUUAGCUACUUAUUAUUUGCUGAGGAGAGAGAUCUCUGGUUUGAGUUGCUCACUUUGAGCAGAGCGGAUUAGGGGUUUGUGGGGCCCUGAGUCAGAGCAAGUGGGGGCCCCACCCCACUCCUUCUGCCUGCAAUUCCCCUCCCCCAUGCUUCUUCUGGGGAAGGGGGUUGGGAUGCGGGGGCUUCCCCCGCUCCCCAGCAGGAACGCUGGAUGGAGUGGGUCGAGGCACGGGGGCCCCCAAAUUGGCCGGGGCCCUGGGUAUGGGCCCCAUUGGCCCAGUGGCUAAUCUGCCACUGCUUUGAGAAAGAAAGGUAUUCUGAAAAAUUGAUUGCAAAAGAUAUUUAAGGCUUUGUCCCUGGGUCUUAGUGACAUCAGUUAAACAUUUCAUGUUUGACUAAUACAGUGGUAUUGUCCAAAACCCAGUGAAGUCAACAGGAAAUUUUUCUGUUGAUUUCAGUGGACUUUGGUUCUAGACCUAGAGGAAGGAAAGAAACAAAGGCAAUGCAUUUUAAAGCCAACCAUUCCAUAUGCAACACAUUUACUGCCUUUGACAACAGGCAGCUUUACACGUAGAGCUCCUAGUUACACAUCCGUGUAAGGAAAGUUGGUCAUUUGAGUUUUGCAAUUACUGAAAGAUGCCUUAAGACUGCUUUCUCUGCUCUCUGCAACUUAGCCUUCAGCCAUCUUUCUGUGUGUUUUAUUUUGUUCUUUGUUUUUUUGUUUUGCUAUAAUACUUAUUCUAAUCCUGUAGAAAUGGUAGCAUUCAACAAACCUUAACAACUGCAAAUAAGGUAUUGGCAUUGGAAGGGUUAUUUUAAAUUUUAGCUUUUGGUUAUGUAUUCUAAGCGGUUUAUAUUGAGUGUAUGGCUACCAUGGGCAAAUAGGAUGAUCUAGUCUAACCCAUUAAAAGCACUGAGACUGUCUACAGACCCUUCACUUUUUUCUCGUAGUACUUACUUGUAACAAAGAUACUGGAGAAAUAAUUUGCACUUUGGAGGCAGGUUUGAAUCUAUAAUUGUCGAAAGAUAAGCUCUGGGGAGAAAAACAAAAUGUGCUUCAGUGAAAAACAGUUGUCUGGCUGAAUGUGUACCUAUGCACAUGGGGUGAAAUUCUGACCCCAUUCACCCAGGGUUUUCUCACUGUAUAAAAAAUUCCAUCUUGUCAUCACCUAGUGAAAAUAGGCAGACCCCAAAAGUGGUGGCCUCUUCUACAUCAUUGCCCAAAGCAAUGCCUUCCGCAGCACCCAGCACCACUGCAUUCUUUUUAAGAGCCCUACCAGUGUCAAACAUUUGUUCUCUCAACAUCCACCAAUUCAGCAGUUCACAGCUGCUGGAGGAAACUUCACCCAAACUUUACUUCCUGAAUUGCAGUGUUCUGAAGCCAUGGUUCUGUAUAUGCAGAGCGAGGGGCUCUAGUAACACUCUCUGAGAUUACAGUUUUAAACUGCAGCAGUAAUAAAUAGAAAUAUAAGUAAUAAUUAAAAAGCCAAGAGCCUUAAGUCCUAACUACUAUUUAAAGACAAAGCACAGUUGCAAAUUCAUUUUGAAUACUGUGUAGAAUUCGCAUGAUAAAUGGAGGGUGUCUCUUAUUGAUCAGGUAAUAAUAACUAUAUCCUAUUCUGAUAAGCACCGUGUCCAAAAUUACUGAGUUAACAGGGAACACCCAGAAGUUAACAACACACUGAAAUGUGCUCUUCCCCACUGCUGCACCUCUCAGGAAGGGUAUUUGCCACACUCCAAUGGCAAAUGUGAUUUGUUUUAUAUUGGAUUUAUUUUAAAAGCUUCCUCUAUCCUGGCAAAGGUUAUUUUUACAUUCAGCAUAAAAAGCUGCAAAUAUUGGUGUAGGGGGACUGGACUCUUCCAUGCUCCCUGCUCCAGGUCAGUGCUGCUGAGCUGAAGCUAAGGAGGGAGGGGUAGCUUUUGAAGAAAAUAUAAUCUGAAAGACAAAUGACUUGGGAGAGGAUUUAGCAUUCCUCUAGAGCAAGGAGGACUAGGGGCACGGGCUAGGAGGACUAGGGGCACAUGGGUAGAAGGGUGGGGAAGGCAUGAUUAGUUGAGGUGUUGUAGUCACCUGAGACUACUGAGAGCAGUAGCUAAGCAGAGCACGGAUUUGUAUGCCAUACAGUUAUUAGGCCAAUUGGACACACACAUCCCAGCCAAUAAGAGUGCAGAGAGCUACACAGAGAAAUAAUUGGACAGUUGUGGGUCAAUAAUUGUGCUGCUUCUGUGCACCGCAGUUGACUGAGACAAUUCUGGUUCAGCAUAACUAUUGUUCAUUGAGUUUGUAAAAAUGUCUUUUCCCUCUGCAUUUUUCUUUAAAUUGUUCAUGUGAGUAAAUUUUGAGCUGGCAGUUGAAAUUGCAUUUUAAAUUCAAACACAGCUACCCUGUUACCAAAGUUUAGUUGUAUGUGGGGUUUUUGGUUUAUUUUUUGUUGCUUUCUUUUUUUUUCUGUAUCGUGUUGUGUACAGUAUUAUACAUAUGUGACAUUAUGUAAGCAAUUACUAUGCAUAGAAAGCUAUUGUGACUGGCUGGAGUGUUACAAGAUUAUAGAAACCUGCAGUAGGUUCAUCUUAAAGGUAGAAAUGCAAAAUGGAUCCUUCCGAGUUGAUUUUGAUUUCACAAAAAAUUGUAAGUUGGGCAAAGAUGAUAUUUCUGUUCAAACACCUGCUUAAGAUUCCUCCUUGGCAACAUGCCUGGAGAUAGACAUCAACUCCAUACCGUCAUAUGCUUCCUUUAAAAGCUGCCUUUAGACCAGUAUUAGCCCAAGCGCUCUAGCACUUUGGUAUUGCAUUGCCUGUCCCUCCACAAAUGCGCAUGGAAACAGCACAAAAGCACUAAGCAUUAACUGAAAACAAUUUCCAAUUCAAAAAACAAUUUAAAAAAAAUCCUAAUCUCCUGGAAAGUGUUACUUUAGUGAUGUCUUUGUUUUUUUUCCCCAUCCCCGUAAACCCCACGAUCACGCUACAUUCUCCCCUCCUCUUUGCAAACAGACAGAAAAGGCCUGUUUACAAACACUUCUGAGGGGAAGUUUGUAACGUCCACUGAAUUAUUUGCUGGGGAAGGUGCUUCCAUUCAGCAGAUGAAUUGUAAAUAUUCUGCAUAUGCUUUGUUGACAACACACAAAAUGGAAAAAAGUUGUAUCUGUGAAAUAUUAAGCUAUAUAUGUAUAUAGAUAAAAAAAAUAUUACCUUUGACUCGUUACUACAGAGCUGUAAUCAACUGUAUAUUAAACUGUUUUACUGUAUUGCAGAACAUUUCAUGCUAUCUUAGAUGUAGAAAAGCUGGGAAAGUAAUUCACAAUACAAUAUGUCAACUUAAAAUUUGUUUGCUUUUUUAUUUUGCUUAGGCACAACUUCAAACAGAAUCUGUGCCAGUUGUACAUUGUUUCAGAGAAUUACAGUUUGGAACACAAAUUCUUGGACCUUUUAUUUACUGAACAUUGACUCCUCACAAUAGUUCUUUGUGAUUGCUUAUUCACUCAUUUCAUUUGUGGUUAGUUAGGAUAUUUGAGAGGAAUUUUAAAAAGUAAAGGGACUUCCCAGGUAGUUUAGGGCUCAGAUUAGAAGUACUCUUAUUAUUUGGUGACAAAUCAUCUUAAAUUCUAAAUACCAGUUUAAAAAACUCCUUUCUGAAACAGACAUUUUUUUUUUAUAAUACACUACUAUACAUUGUGAGUCUGCACUACAGCAACAGGUAACUGACAGACAAUGCUCUUGGAAGAGUGCUAUUGUCACUCUUAAUUCAGGUGCAAAUCUAAGGAAAUGAAGAAAAAAAGCCAUAUUGAUUUUAGUUUCAGUAGAAUCUCUAAGGAAAGAGUUCGACUAAGGUUUUCAAAGCCUUAAUGUUUGUCAACUAGAAAAUUGAACACUAUAGACAAGAUGUAGUAUGGUAAGUAGCACAGUACACUGUACAAAUUGGGUAUCUCCAACAAGCAUCCUGUUGUAUUUUACUUGGGUUCAUGUGGCUUUGAUAUAUUUAACUCAAAAGAUUUAAAGAAAAUUCUGAACUCUUGCAAAAUAAGUUUGAUGUGCAGAAGAAAGGAAGGUUUUUUCUUUUUUCUGGAUUCUGUGUCCACCCUACUCCACCCAAUGCACUCCUCAUAUCUUUAUGCGUGCCAAAUGAACCUUAAUUGCCACAUCUUUUAAAGGACAUCUUUAAAUCCUUUUUACCUGGUGAUGACAGAGCUAUCCAGUUGUAGAUUAUUUGGCAUGUUAAAUUGGACAGCAAAUGAAUUGUGGCUUUACUGUUGUUUAUGUAGCCCCAUUGGUAUGCAAUAGGAUUUCAGCAGAUGCUUCAUUAAGAACUUUGUCCCUCACUGAACCAUAGAGAGCUACAGUCUGAUUUUUCUUAAAGUUUUCUCAAAAGGAAAGGUAAGUAUCAGAGAGCUUGUAUAACGCACAUAUGGUACCAUUCAGUCUUAAGGCAACCAGCCAUUAGCCACAUUUACCACCAUAUUACUCAAACUCAACCCAGGAAUUUUUAUACCAAUACACAUAUUUAACCAGUACUCAAGAGUUCCUGGGUGUCAGCCUUCUGUUGUAAGUGAAAACUGUUUGAACAUUAUCCAAGUAUUUCUGUUUGUUUUCAUUGUAGAUCAUGGUGAUUGUCAACAGCCAAGAGGUAUUUUUUAAUAAAUCUUAUAAAGGAAUUUCCAAUAAA